rnacentral:lncRNA from 1 species
UUUAGUUUUUCAUCGUUUCAGAGUCUGGAAGUCCAAGAUCAAGGGACCAGAGGGGUCAGUGAGGCCUUCUCUCACCUGAACUGGGAUCAGAUUAGCAGCAACAACAAUGAAUGAGUGAUGGAGACGGCAUCCGGCACCCACAGUACACACAGAAUGGUUAUGUUUAUCUUCCAUCUCCUGUGCCAGCUUACUGACAUGGGGCACUGCAGUUCCCAGAGCAAGCCUGGACUUGUCCCCUGAUGAGCACAUGGGACAAUCAUCCAAGUAGAAUGAAACCAGCUGGGAGAAGCCACCACACAUCCCCUUCAGAAACAGCAACUCUCCCACGCCUGACUGACUUCCUGGUGCCUGGAACUCCUCUGAGUGGAGCAACUCUAUUGACUGAGAUUAUCUCCAUAAAGUCCAGGUGAAGGUGAAAAUAACAAUCUCACCAUUUACUGAUUGUCAAUUUCCUGUCCAAUAAGAAAAGAAUAAGACUUCAGGGAGGCAGGGCAGGCAACAGGCACGUCUGAGUCCAUUUCUCAGCUGAAAUCUACAAGAAACUGAGGACCUCAAUCCCCCAACCCUGGAGCAAUGCAGUCCUGCCGGUAUGCUUGUAGGGGUGCUCAGAAGCAGACCCUUCCCCACCUGAGCCUUCAGAUGAGUCCUCAUCCCUGGCCAGUACCUGAGUGUGGACUUGUGAGUGAGCCAAGCCAGCCAUGCCACACAAAGAUUCCUGACCCACAAAAACUGUGAGAUGAUAAAUGUGCAUUGAUUCAAGCUGCUAAGUUUGGGGGCAACUUGUUACACAGCAGGAGAUAACUACUACACCACCACCAUGAUCUGUUUUUUGGCCUUUGAACGUAUCUCAUUUAUUCUUUUUUUAAAUUCUGUUUUCCUCUCCAAGAUUGCCACCCAGUGUCUGUCCAAUUCCUCACCCACAAGUCAGUUUCCACUUUCCCUCUGAGCCCUUCUGAUUUUUUCCACUCAUGAUGGUUUUUCUCUUCCACAAGACACAGAAUUUAUUGUCUCAGCUGUGCCAUUCCAAGAUCAGGGUUUCUUUAAGCAUUCCCCCGGCCUUGGAAUAGCACAGCUCAAAACAAGGUACAAAUGGGAUUUACUUUUUUUUUUCUGUGCUCUUUAUGACUGUAUUACAUCCCCUUUCACUCUUUUUUUCUUUCAUUUUUGAAAAUAUAAUAAUGUUAUCAACUAAAGUCACCAUGUUGUAAAAUAAUAUCUUGAAUUUAUUUCUCUUAUCCAACUGAAAUUUUGUAUCCUUUGAUCAACGUUUCCCCAACCUCCAACUCCCCCAUUGCCCAGCCCUUAGUAACCACUAUUCUUCUCUCUGCUUCAGUGAGUUCAGCUUUUGAAAAUUUUCCACAGAUGAGUGAGGUCAUGUGGUAUUUGUCUUUCUGUGCCUGGCUUAUUUCAGUUAAUAUAAUGUCUUCCAGGUUCAUCCAUGUUG